rnacentral:rRNA from 1 species
AAUCUUCCGCAAUGGACGAAAGUCUGACGGAGCAACGCCGCGUGAGUGAUGAAGGUCUUCGGAUCGUAAAACUCUGUUGUUAGGGAAGAACAAGUAUCGUUCGAAUAGGGCGGUACCUUGACGGUACCUAACCAGAAAGCCACGGCUAACUACGUGCCAGCAGCCGCGGUAAUACGUAGGUGGCAAGCGUUAUCCGGAAUUAUUGGGCGUAAAGCGCGCGCAGGCGGUUUCUUAAGUCUGAUGUGAAAGCCCACGGCUCAACCGUGGAGGGUCAUUGGAAACUGGGAAGCUUGAGUGCAGAAGAGGAGAGUGGAAUUCCAUGUGUAGCGGUGAAAUGCGUAGAGAUGUGGAGGAAUACCGAUGGCGAAGGCAGCCCCCUGGGAUAAUACUGACGCUCAUGCACGAAAGCGUGGGGAGCAAACA